AUUGAACGCUGGCGGCAGGCUUAACACAUGCAAGUCGAGCGGGGGAGGUUGCUUCGGUAACUGACCUAGCGGCGGACGGGUGAGUAAUGCUUAGGAAUCUGCUAUUAGUGGGGGACAACAUUUCGAAAGGGAUGCUAAUACCGCAUACACCCUACGGGGGAAAGCAGGGGAUCUUCGGACCUUGCGCUAAUAGACGAGCCUAAGUCGGAUUAGCUAGUUGGUGGGGUAAAGGCCUACCAAGGCGACGAUCUGUAGCGGGUCUGAGAGGAUGAUCCGCCACACUGGGACUGAGACACGGCCCAGACUCCUACGGGAGGCAGCAGUGGGGAAUAUUGGACAAUGGGCGGAAGCCUGAUCCAGCCAUGCCGCGUGUGUGAAGAAGGCCUUUUGGUUGUAAAGCACUUUAAGCGAGGAGGAGGCUACUAGUACUAAUACUACUGGAUAGUGGACGUUACUCGCAGAAUAAGCACCGGCUAACUCUGUGCCAGCCGCCGCGGUAACAC
rnacentral:rRNA from 1 species